rnacentral:lncRNA from 1 species
AAAUUUUUGACCUCUUUCUUAAGUUAACCAUUAUAGAUGGCAUGAUAAAAGGCAAAACACCAGAGGAAAUUUCUGAGAUCUUUGGAGCUGCAGAUAACUAAAACUCAAAGUUAUUGGAAGGGAUUAGGGAACAUGUAGUAGAGAGUCUUUAGAUUUUAUUUAAGGUCAAACAAUUUUAUUGACUUUUAUUUAUAAAUAAGAUC